CAAUAGCGUAUAUUAAAGUUGUUGCGGUUAAAAAGCUCGUAGUUGGAUCUCGGCAGGCAGGGGGUGGUUCGCUCUUAGCGCUACUGCCCCAUUUGCCUGUGUGAUUGGCGGAGGUUUCGGGGUGCUCUUCGUUGAGUGACCCGGGGAGCCGUCAGGUUUACUUUGAAAAAAUUAGAGUGCUCAAAGCAGGCUUUUCACGCUUGAAUAUUCGUGCAUGGAAUAAUGGAAUAGGAACUCGUUUCUAUUUUGUUGGUUUUCGGAAAUCGAGUUAAUGAUUAAUAGGGACAAUUGGGGGCAUUAGUAUUCAGACGACAGAGGUGAAAUUCUUGGACCGUCUGAAGACUAACUACUGCGAAAGCAUUUGCCAAGAGUGUUUUCAUUAA
rnacentral:rRNA from 1 species